UGUGGUGGCAGGAGACUCCAGGGACACUUUGCAACGGGAGACAUUUCACCCCUUUGUACUUGAGCAACACCUUACUGCCAAGUUUUCAGAUAGUUUCUGGUAUUGGCGCUACAACUACUACCCCAUCUCACAGGGUCCAAACUGCUGCUCGGACUUGUCUGUGUCCUUCCACUAUGUACAUGACAGCAACAUGUAUCUACUGGAGUACUACGUCUAUCACCUGCGCGCCUUUGGCUACAGAUACCGCUACCAGCCCCCCAGUCCGCUCGGGUACUCUUACGAGAAGGUGGGCUCACAGGACGCUGCUGUCACCGUGGAAAAGAACAUUUCUCAAGAAAAAGAUGCAGAAGGCCAGGAUGUCUCAGUGGGAGAAGCUUCUGCAGAUGCCUCAGUGUUUCACUCCGCAGUUACAAGACCUUUACGACAGGGAAGGGCUGCCCAUGGAUGUCCGACAGUACCUGUCCGCCUGGAUCGAAUCACAGGAAUGGGAGCGAGCAGCAAGCGACUACAACUUGGCCAUGGUUUUGUACCAAGGCCUGCUCGAGAAUCUCGAUAUCCGGUACAGUCGCUUUGUACAAGAGAAGUCUUUCUUGAAGCAGCACAACAUUCGACGCUAUAAACAGAACUUUCAGAAGUUCCAGGAAAACCCCUGUGAAUUGGCCCAAAACAUCUGGUGGUUUUUGAAAGAGGAGACAGAUAUCUUGCGGACUGCCGAUCUGGCUAUGCAGGUGCAGUCUUUGCAAGUAGAACAAGAAGGCAUUGAGACCAACACCCAGCGAGACCUUGACCGUAGAAUGGCCAGCCUUAAAAAUGAAGUGCAGUGUAUGGAACAUAAAAUGGUGUGUCUGGAGGAGCAGCAGGACGAGUUUCAUUUCAAAUGUGAAAUAUACCAGAUGGAGGCAGCCACGGCAGACAACACGGAGCAAGGCAAAAUUCAAUUGCUAAUCAACAACCUCAAUGAAUCCCGAAAGGACACACUCUGCGGCCUUAAUAAGACCCUGAAAAUAGCAGGAGACCUGAUCGACACCUUGGUGAACAAGGAGAUAGUGCAAUGGCAGAGAAGGCAGCAGAAAGCCUGCAUCGGAGCUCCAGACAGCGUUUGCCUGGACCAACUUGAGAAAUGGUUCACUUGUGUGGCAGAAUGUCUCUUCCAGGUACGCGAGUUCCUUUUUAAGCUCCAGGAGCUGGUUGAAAAGGUGUCCUAUAAAAAUGACCCUGUGAAGGAGCAUAAACCUUUACUGCAAAGCAAGGCUGAAAAACUCCUGAGCAAGUUGCUCACAAGUUCCUUAGUAGUUGAAGUCCAGCCGUCCAUGCCUCAGGGUAAAGGCCCCCUAGUUCUGCGCACAGGUGUGCAAUUCUCUGUUAAGACAAGACUCUUAGUUAAGUUUCCUGAGAUGAAAAAUUCCAUGGAGGUCCACACAUCAAUCGGUGCACCUAAGAUAAAAGGAUGUCGUCAUUUCAACGUCCUAGGCACCGUAACCAAAGCUUUGAGCAUGUCAGAGAGUCAGAGCGGUGGCAUGGUGGCAGACUUCAGGCACCUGACUUUGAAGGAGCAGAAGUCAGGAGGAGGUGGUCGAGGAACGGGCGAUCUUUCUCUCAGCGUGACAGAAGAAUUGCACAUCAUCUGCUUCAACACCACCUUUGUGCUGAAAGGCAUGUCGGUCGACUUGCAGGCCACGUCCCUCCCAGUGGUCGUCAUCUCCAACUCCAGUCAGCUGAAUAGUGCCUGGGCGUCUGUGCUGUGGUUCAACAUGCUCAGCCAGGACCCCAAAGACCUGAUGUUCUUUGCCAACUCCCAAGCAGCCCCUUGGCCACAGCUGGGACAGAUGCUGAGUUGGCAGUUUCUCUCUGCCGCCAAACGUGGUCUGAAUGAUGAUCAGCUGGAAAUGAUCGCUCUCAGGCUUUUUGGAAAGCAACAGAAUUAUGACACCUGCACUGUAGAUUGGUCCAAAUUUUCAAAGGAAAACAGUCCUGACACGUUCUGGGUGUGGUUUGACAGCAUUGUGGUGAUGGUGAAAACCUAUCUUGAAGACCUGUGGAGGGAUGGCCUGAUCAUGGGCUUUGUUAGCAAGGGCAAAGAAAAGUUACUCCUGAAGCAAAAACAGAGGGGCACCUUCCUGAUCCGUUUCAGUGAGAGCGUCAUCGGUGGAAUCACCUUCUCCUGGGUAGAAAGUACAAAUGGUGAUCCUGAAGUCAAGACAAUCCAGCCGUUUACCAAAAAUGACCUUGCCCAGAUUCACUUCCAUGAGAUCAUCCAGAAUUUUCUCAUCCUUGAGGAUGAAAAUGUCCCAGAAAACCCUUUACAAUAUUUAUAUCCCGACACUCCCAGGGAUGAAGCUUUUGGGAAAUACUACACUGACAAGACUGGAAACGACAACCCUCAUCUCAAGUACAUCAAAACCCGGCUAAUGUUUGUUUCAAAGGGGGACAAACUGGAGCCUGAACCAUACCCGUUUAGAGACAUGACAGAGGAGGACCAAGACCAGCAGCCAGUGAAUGGCGAGUGUGGAGGAGAUGCUGUCUUUCCUUUUCAAGAAGAGUUUUUCCUCCAAGAUGACCCCAUGUUUUGGACACAUUUGAAUGAUGAUCUGAUGCCAGCAUUGCCCAACCCUUUUAACUGAACACUUGCUGUGAGGCCUUUGUAACCACAGCACAGGAAGUGGAUGUGGCCCGCAGCAACCAGGUGUGCAGGCUAAUUGGGAACAGGUGGUGCUGAUAGGUGGAUGAUACAGCAGAGGAUGUGGUCAGAUGAAACCAAAAUAGAACUUUUUGGUAUAAACUCAACAUUUUGUGUUUGGAGGAAGAAGAAUACUGAGUUGCAUCCCAAGAACACCAUACCUACUGUGAAGCAUGGGGAUGGAAACAUCAUGCUUUGGGGCUGUUUUUCUGCGAAGGGGACAGGACGAUUGAUCCAUGUUAAGGCAAGAAUGAAUGGGGCCAUGUAUCGUGAGAUUUUGAGCCAAAACCUCCUUCCAUCAGUGAGAGCUUUGAAUGGUUUAGCAAAUACUUAUUUUCCACCAUAAUUUACAAAUAAAUUCUUUAAAAUUUCUACAAUUUUUUUUCACAUUCUGUCUCUCACAGUUGAAGUGUACCUAUGAUGAAAACUACAGACCUCUGUCAUCAUUUUAAGUGGGAGAACUUGCACAAUCGGUGGCUGACUAUUUUAAAUACUCUUUUGCCCCACUGUAAAAGGUUCCAAAAAUAGUCUUUAUCCUUUUUGGGAAUUAAACGAUAGCGAUGCUACGACAGAGAUGUGUGGAUAUCCUGCGACACUCAAAGCAGAUGCAUUUCCAACGAUAAAGUCAACGAAAUCACAAAGGUGAGUUUUGUUGAUGUUAUUGACUUAUGUGCUAAUCAGACAUAUUUGGUCACGGCAUGAUUGCCAGCUAAUCCAUGCUAACAUGCUAUUUAGGCUAGCUGUAUGUACAUUUGUAGCUAUAUUUGCAUCCAGCCUUUCCCUCCACCCACAUUUAAUGCCAACAAACACAUACCAAUCGACGGAUUCAAGUUUCACCAGUGUCAAAAGAUGCGAAAGUCCCACGUUUAUUAUGCACAUUUUACCGACGAUAGCGAUGCUACGACAGAGAUGGCACAGAGAUGUGUGGAUAUCCUACGGCACUCAAAAGCAGAUGCAUUUCCAACAAUAAAGUCAACGAAAUCACAAAGGUGAGUUUUGUUGAUGUUAUUGACUUAUGUGCUAAUCAGACAUAUUUGGUCACGGCAUGAUUGCCAGCUAAUCCAUGCUAACAUGCUAUUUAGGCUAGCUGUAUGUACAUUUGUAGCUAUAUUUGCAUCCAGCCUUUCCCUCCACCCAUAUUUAAUGCCAAACAAACACUUACCAAUCAACGGAUUCAAGUUGCACCAGUGUCAAAAGAUGCGAAAGUCCCUCGUUUGUUCUGCACAUUUUACAGACGAUAGCGAUGCUACGACAGAGAUGUGUGGAUAUCCUGCGACACUCAAAGCAGAUGCAUUUCCAACGAUAAAGUCAACGAAAUCACAAAGCGAUGCUACGACAGAGAUGGCACAGAGAUGUGUGGAUAUCCUGCGACACUCAAAAGCAGAUGCAUUUCCAACAAUAAAGUCAACGAAAUCACAAAGACGAUAGCGAUGCUACGACAGAGAUGUGUGGAUAUCCUGCGACACUCAAAGCAGAUGCAUUUCCAACGAUAAAGUCAACGAAAUCACAAAGCGAUGCUACGACAGAGAUGGCACAGAGAUGUGUGGAUAUCCUGCGACACUCAAAAGCAGAUGCAUUUCCAACAAUAAAGUCAACAAAAUCACAAAGACGAUAGCGAUGCUACGACAGAGAUGUGUGGAUAUCCUGCGACACUCAAAGCAGAUGCAUUUCCAACGAUAAAGUCAACGAAAUCACAAAGCGAUGCUACGACAGAGAUGGCACAGAGAUGUGUUGAUAUCCUGCGACACUCAAAAGCAGAUGCAUUUCCAACAAUAAAGUCAACGAAAUCACAAAGCCUUGACGCUACGACCAGGCUGUUCCGAAAAACACCAACGAUGGACGCUUUCGACCUCCCUCCUUUCUCUGAAAAACACCCCCGAGGACACCUCAAUGAUGGACGCUUUUGACCUCCUUCCUUUCUCAACAACACCUGGAGUCGAACUUUUGCAGAUCGGCCUCAGUCUACAAAAACAUUACACCAUCACACCUAAGACAAUUGGGCACACACGCACACACCUGCCCUCCCCCACCCCACGCCUUCACCACCGCUUGUUUUUCCCCUCGGGGCCUUCCAGGGCUCCAACUCCCCCCCACCCCCCCUGUGUGAGUUGUUGUGAUUAAAUGUAACGUGUUUAUGUGUGCAUUGCAAAUUAGGUUUUUCCACUUGGACUCAAUCCAGACCACGUCCCGUGGGUCCAGCCUUUGACUAAAAAUUGUUUUACUCUUUCCUCCCCUUUCCCAAUACCACCUUUUUAAGGAGUGCCAUAAAAAUGGCUGAUCUGUUGGCGGUCCCGUCUUGUCUCCCUCUAACGUAUGACUGCUCUUAGUGGGACUGUGUCGAAAAUGUACUUUUCAGUUCUUAUGUGUCUUGUGCAUGUUAAGAAUUGACAAUAAAUCAUUUCCAUUCCCA